rnacentral:rRNA from 1 species
UACAGAGGGUGCGAGCGUUAAUCGGAAUUACUGGGCGUAAAGCGCGCGCAGGCGGCUUCAUAAGUCUGGCGUGAAAGCCCCCGGCUCAACCGGGGAGGGGCGUUGGAGACUGUGGAGCUUGAGGGCGGUAGGGGCUGGUGGAAUUCCCGGUGUAGUGGUGAAAUGCGUAGAGAUCGGGAGGAACACCUGUGGCGAAGGCGGCCAGCUGGGCCGACCCUGACGCUGAGGCGCGAAGGCGUGGGGAGCGAACGGG